AGUUUGAUUCUGGCUCAGAUUGAACGCUGGCGGGAUGCCUUUACAUGCAAGUCGAACGCCAGCACGGACUUCAGUCUGGUGGCGAAGUGGCGAGCGGGUGGGUAAUGUAUCGGAACGAUGCCCUGGUAGCGGGGAUAACUACGCGAAAGCGUAGCUAAUACCGCAUACGCCCUUCGGGGAAAGCGGGGGACCUUCGGGCCUCGCACUAUUAGAGCGGCCGAUAUCGGAUUAGCUAGUUGGUGGGGUAACGGCUCGCAAGGCGACGAUCCGUAGCUGGUUUGAGAGGACGACCAGCCGCACAGGACUGAGACACGGCCCAGACUCCUACGGGAGGCAGCAGUGAAAUUUUUGGACAAUGGGGAAACCUGAUCCAGCCAUCCGCGUGUGCGAUGAAGGCCUUCGGGUUGCUAAAAGCACUUUUGGCAGUAAAAAGAAACGCUGGGAUAAUACGAUACAGCAGCAGUGCAGAAUAAGCACCGACUAACUACGUGCCAGCAGCCGCGGUAAUGCGGCGUAGGGUGCAAGCGUUAAUCGGAAUUACUGGGCGUAAAGCGUGCGCAGGCGGUUCGGAAGAAAGAUGUGAAAUCCCAGGCUUAACUUUGGAACUGCAUUUUUUUUAACUACCGAGCUAGAGUGUGUCAGAGGGAGGUGGAAUUCCGCGUGUAGCAGUGAAAUGCGUAGAUAUGCGGAGGAACACCGAUGGCAGCCUCCUGGGAUAACACUGACGCUCAUGCACGAAAGCGUGGGAGCAAACAGGAUUAGAUACCCUGGUAGUCCACGCCCUAAACGAUGUCAACUAGCUGUUGGGGCCUUCGGGCCUUGGUAGCGCAGCUAACGCGUGAAGUUGACCGCCUGGGGAGUACGGUCGCAAGAUUAAAACUCAAAGGAAUUGACGGGGACCCGCACAAGCGGUGGAUGAUGUGGAUUAAUUCCGAUGCAACGCGAAAAGCCUUACCUACCCUUGACAUGUCUGGAAUCCCGAAGGAAUUUGGGAGUGCUCGCAAGAGAACCGGAACACAGGUGCUGCAUGGCUGUCGUCAGCUCGUGUCGUGAGAUGUUGGGUUAAGUCCCGCAACAGGCGCAACCCUUGUCAUUAGUUGCUACGAAGGGCACUCUAAUGAGACUGCCGGUGACAAACCGGAGGAAGGUGGGGAUGACGUCAAGUCCUCAUGGCCCUUAUGGGUAGGGCUUCACACGUCAUACAAUGGUCGGGACAGAGGGGUCGCCAACCCGCGAGGAGGGCCAAUCCCAGAAACCCGAUCGUAGUCCGGAUCGCAGUCUGCAACUCGACUGCGUGAAGUCGGAAUCGCUGGUAAUCGCGGAUCAGCAUGUCGCGGUGAAUACGUUCCCGGGUCUUGUACACACCGCCCGUCACACCAUGGGAGUGGGUUUUACCAGAAGUAGUUAGCCUAACCGUAAGGAGGGCGAUUACCACGGUAGGAUUCAUGACUGGGGUGAAGUCGUAACAAGGUAG
rnacentral:rRNA from 1 species